CCUACGGGAGGCAGCAGUGGGGAAUUUUCCGCAAUGGGCGAAAGCCUGACGGAGCAACGCCGCGUGGGUGAUGAAGUCUUUCGGGACGUAAAACCCUUUCAGCAGGGACGAACAAAAUGACGGUACCUGCAGAAGAAGCAUCGGCUAACUACGUGCCAGCAGCCGCGGUAAUACGUAGGAUGCGAGCGUUGUCCGGAUUUAUUGGGCGUAAAGCGAACGUAGGCGGUUUCUUAAGUUUGGUCUUAAAGACCGGGGCUCAACCCCGGGAAUGGACUGAAUACUGGGAGACUAGAGGAUGUUAGAGGAAAGUGGAAUUCCAAGUGUAGCGGUGAAAUGCGUAGAUAUUUGGAGGAACACCAGUGGCGAAAGCGGCUUUCUGGGACAUUUCUGACGCUGAGGUUCGAAAGCUCGGGGAGCAAACAGGAUUAGAUACCCUGGUAGUCCGAGCCGUAAACGAUGGACACUAGGUGUCGGGGGUAUCGACCCCCCGGUGCCGUAGCUAACGCGUUAAGUGUCCCGCCUGGGGAGGUACGGUCGCGAGACGUAGAACUACAAUAGUAAUAGUACGGCGUGAGACGUGCCGACGGACGACGAACGAGGGAGUUAGG
rnacentral:rRNA from 1 species